rnacentral:tRNA from 1 species
GGAGCGGUAGCAUAGUCCGGCCUAAUGCGCGCGCCUGGAGAGCGCGUGGGCGGUUCCCGCCCCGUGGGUUCAAAUCCCACCCGCUCCG